GGUGUCGUGGUGUAGUGGUCUAGCACAUCUGUCUUACACACAGAAGAUCUCCGGUUCAAACCCGGACGAUACCA